GGAGGUUGCGAGCGUUGUUCGGAAUAACUGGGCGUAAAGGGAGCGCAGGCGGUUGGGCAAGUCCAAAGUGAAAGCCCGGGGCUCAACUCCGGAAGUGCUUUGGAUACUGCCUUACUCGAGUUCGUGAGAGGAAAGCGGAAUUCCAGGUGUAGCGGUGAAAUGCGUAGAUAUCUGGAGGAACACCGGUGGCGAAAGCGGCUUUCUGGCACGAUACUGACGCUGAGGCUCGAAAGCGUGGGGAGCAAACAGGAUUAGAUACCCUGGUAGUCCACGCUGUAAACGUUGUGCACUAGGUGUGGGAGGUAUCGACCCCUUCCGUGCCGCAGCUAACGCACUAAGUGCACCGCCUGGGGAGUACGGUCGCAAGACUG
rnacentral:rRNA from 1 species